rnacentral:tRNA from 1 species
GCGAGCGUGGCGGAAUUGGCAGACGCGCUGGGUUUAGGUCCCAGUGGCCCACAAGGCUGUGGGGGUUCGAGUCCCCCCGCUCGCA